ensembl:lncRNA
AGGGAAGUUGCGGUAAAAUUAAGAUAAUCAGUAUAGUGCCAGUGUUUCCUGACACUGGCAGUUCCCAAAAUCUAGUCCAGACCUCUCUCCUGAACUUUAGACAUAUGUAUCCAAUUUUCCACUUGAUAUUUCCACUGGGAUGUCUAAAUGAUUUUUCAAACUCACUCCCAACCAUCUACACAUUUCCCUUAGAGUAAAAACUGCCAAAGCUCUCACAUCAGCCUAAAAGGUUCUAAAUGAUCGGAGAUCUGCUCCCUCUCACCUCAUCUUCUACCAUUCUCUCCGUCCCUCUCUUCUCUCCUGCCAAACUGUUAUCUUUUCCUUGAAAAAGGUCACUUCCUUACCACCUUGGCUUAAAUUGUAAUCUUCUCAAUAAAGGCUCCUCUGACCAUGCUAUACAAAAAUGCAUUCACCUCAUGCCAGGCAGCAUUUUGAUGUGCUUUUUUUUUUGUUGUUGUUCCUAACCCUUACCUUAUAACAUUCUGUGUAAUUUACAAUCUUUUUCUUUAUGUUUAUUGUUUAUUUUCUGUCACCUCUCACUAGAAUGAAAACUCCACCAAGGCAGACAGAUUUUUCUGCUUAUUUUUUUCUCUGACCUAUCUUAAGCACCUAGCAUAGUGUCUGGCACAUAUAUUUGUCAAACGAUGAAUGCUUAUAAAAUUGGAAUCAAGUCUACACUAGUUGUGGAGGGCCUCAGUGCCAUACUAAAGAGAGGAAGCUUAAUUAGAAAGCCAGCAGCAUCACCCAGAGAGUUUUGAGAGGUGCCACGUGAAGAAGCACUGCUAUGAGGCCAAACCUGUAUUAGAGUUUCACUUGUGUUGCUGUAGAGAGAAAAGAAGCAGAAGCAAGUCAAAGCCUAUGGAAAUGAUGUUAUGUGGUGAUAAGAUCAGAAGUAGAAUGAUGCUAGUAGGAAAAAGGAAGCACGGAUGCAACAGAUUAAAAAGAAACAAUGGGAGGACUCAAAGUCUGAUCACCAUGAAAAAAUAAGGUUAAUUUUAUGUGAUUGAGAAAUUAUCAGGCAUGAAGGAAAAGUUGUGAUUUUUUUGAGGAAAAGAUGCAAUAUUUCAUUUUAGGUAAGAGUAUAUUUGAAAUAAUGCUGGACAUUCCAAGAAAAUAAACCAGUGUUCAGUAGAGCUGUGGACAGGAACUGCAGGUGAUCUCAGAGAGAUCUCAUAAGAGAUCUCAUAGUUGGCUGCAGAAGGAAGAGAGCUGAAUCCAUGGAGUCAAGUGAAGUCUAGAAAGAGGAGACUGUGAAGCAAGAAAGGGAGACAGUCAAAAAGGAACUUGGGGGCUGCCCAAAAUUACAGAAAAAGUGACAUAAUUGAAUAGUAAAGAAAUGGAGAAGCUGGAAGGAUGGAGAAGAAUCAGGGUGACAGAAUCUGGUUAAAGAGAAUAAGUACUGAAAGAAAGAAAUUGAACUUAAAAAGAAGACAAUUUUAAAAGAGUGGUCCAGCACUAUAUUUCGGUAGAGUCAAUUGUAAGUAACUGAAGGUUAAAGGCUAAAGAAUUUAGAUAUUUGUAGGAAUAAAAAUUGCAAAGGAGUAUCUUUCUCUCUCUCUCUUUUUUUUUUCCUAAUCAUCCAAGAAUUUUGCACAUUUGUAUGAAGAGAAAGAGCCCCAGGACGGCAAAAGACUGACGCUCGUAAGGCAAAAUAGCCCUUGAUGAAAUGAGUAAACUAUCCGUUUCAGAAAGGAGAAAAUUCCCAAACAGGCCACUCUUCCUUCCUGUUUUGCUAAUCUUGGUUUCACCAAGAGAAACUGAGAUUAGUCGGGACAGAGGACCAGUUCCUGCCUCAUUCCUCCUAUUCCCUUCACAGGAAGCUCAGUAUGUGAGAGCUCUGAGCGGAUUGGUUCAGUGGAUAAUGGGAAGCCGAUAUUGAGUGAAGAUAAGCAUUAUUCAAGCUGUAAAUCAAGAAAAUUAAAAGACUCAGAAGACACAUACCAAUAAUGGAUAAAACAUAAAAAAUAAAACUGAAAAGAUAUGCAGCUGGACUUGAAAGCAAGAUAAACACUCUGAGGAGCCAGAAACACAUGAAAUGAACAGGGCUGAAGUGACAGCUGUUUGGGCCAUUGGCUCUGUGGAGCAGGAAUUGGAUUAUUUCUGUGGGAAAGGAGAAUGCAAAUGCUUCCUACAAGUCCAAAGCUAGGCUCAUGACUGAAGCCAGGUCUGAGGGUGGUAUGAGGCUUUCUGAAAAACGAAAGGAGACUGAAUAUCAAAAAUGUGCUGGUCACUGUCUGGGAUAGAGCUUUAAGCAAGCGAUAGAUCUGGGAAGUAGGGAGACGCAGGCUCAGCCUUGUAACCAGAUGAAUCAAACUGUCUGCUGGCUCUGUGAGGCCCCAAAAAUCACUACAAAGAAGAAACUCAAAAGUCCAUUAAAAAAUCGGGUCUGGAGUUGAAGGAAGAUUUGGGUGGAGGCAAACUCGAAGCUGCUAGACCUGUACAUGUGGAAGUUUAUGGGGGAGGGAAAGGAGAAACAAGCAUAUAAAAACAUAAAAACCCUUCACAGGAACAGAGUCUACAAACUAAAAUCCCAAAAUAUGUAAAUAAAUAUAAAGUUAAUAAAGUGAAUCAACAAAACCAAUAGUCAGAAUCACUCUGUAUGAAAUUAUUAUUUUUGGAAAUUCUGAUGAAGAUUUAAAAAUGUCAGCCCAGGACACUUUAGAAGGUGGUAUGAUGGUAGCCAUGUAGCUCUAGAUAUCUUAUCAUGUCAUUCUAAAAACCAUGUGAGUGAAAAAGAGAGCAAAUACACAAAUGCACAACCUAUGUCUACAGCAUUCUGAGGAGGCAAAGAAGACUACAAACUCCAACUUAACAGGAAGUGAGAAAUAAAGACUGAAGUUUAUUUAGCAGAGGCGGACCCAGAGUCCAUGGGGAUGCAGGGAGUAUGAUGAGCAUGCAUGGAAGAUGGAGGAGAGUAGAUAACAA